UACGUAGGGGGCAAGCGUUGUCCGGAUUUAUUGGGCGUAAAGCGCGUGUAGGCGGCUUGGCAGGUCAGCUGUGAAAACUCGAGGCUCAACCUCGAGCUGUCGGUUGAAACCACCUUGCUAGAGUCCGGAAGAGGAGAGUGGAAUUCCUGGUGUAGCGGUGAAAUGCGCAGAUAUCAGGAAGAACACCAAUGGCGAAGGCAGCUCUCUGGGACGGUACUGACGCUGAGACGCGAAAGCGUGGGGAGCGAACAGG
rnacentral:rRNA from 1 species